rnacentral:rRNA from 1 species
UACGUAGGGUGCAAGCGUUGUCCGGAUUUAUUGGGCGUAAAGAGCGUGUAGGCGGCCUGAAAGGUCAGCUGUGAAAACUCGAGGCUCAACCUCGAGACGUCGGUUGAAACCAUCUGGCUAGAGUCCGGAAGAGGAGUGUGGAAUUCCCGGUGUAGCGGUGAAAUGCGCAGAUAUCGGGAAGAACACCCGUGGCGAAGGCGGCACUCUGGGACGGUACUGACGCUGAGACGCGAAAGCGUGGGGAGCGAACAGG